AAAAUAUUGCCUCGGCCGGGAGUCGAAUGUAAGAGAUCCGGGUUCGACUCCCGGCCGAGGCAAUAUUUU
rnacentral:pre_miRNA from 1 species